ACACGACUACAUUAGAUACCCGUGUAGUCCCAGCCGUAAACGAUACUCGCUAGGUGUCGGCCACGGUGCGACCGUUGUCGGUGCCGUAGGGAAGCCGUGAAGCGAGCCACCUGGGAAGUACGGCCGCAAGGCUGAAACUUAAAGGAAUUGGCGGGGAGCACCACAAGAGGUGGAGGCUGUGGUUCAAUUGGACUCAACGCCGGAAAACUCAUCGGGAGCGACAGCAGUAUGAUUGCCAGGUUGAUGACCUUGCUUGACAAGCUG
rnacentral:rRNA from 1 species